rnacentral:tmRNA from 1 species
GGGGGCGAAAAUGGUUUCGACGGGGGUUUUGAGCUUAAAGUAGCGAGCCGUUGAUGGAUCACACAACGUAAAAAUGGUCCAUUAAAAAAUAAACGACGAAAAUAAUUUCGCACUAGCUGCCUAAUCAUAGGUAGCAAUCCAAUGUAGACUCCGCGAUCUACUGCGGGUUUCAAAUUAAGCGGGCAAACGAACUCUGUGAUGCGCCAUAGCAGAGGGGGUUAAUGGCGAUACUUUCUGCAAGUUUGACUUUCUAGUAGCAGAGAGGAAUUCUUAAGAGAGAUCUGCGCUCGGAGAAGCUUUCUGUAAGGGGCCUUCGGACGUGGGUUCGACUCCCACCGCCUCCACCA